rnacentral:rRNA from 1 species
GCCCCAUAGUCUGGGAUACCACUUGGAAACAGGUGCUAAUACCGGAUAAGAAAGCGGAUCGCAUGAUCAGUACUUUUAAAAGGCGGCGUAAGCUGUCGCUAGUGGGAUGGCCCGCGGUGCAUUAGCUAGUUGGUAAGGUAAGGGCUUACCAAGGCGAUGAUGCAUAGCCGAGUUGAGAGACUGAUCGGCCACAUUGGGACUGAGACACGGCCCAAACUCCUACGGGAGGCAGCAGCG